rnacentral:rRNA from 1 species
UGGGGAAUAUUGGACAAUGGAGGGAACUCUGAUGCAGCGACGCCGCGUGAGUGAUGAAGGAAUUCGUUUCGUAAAACUCUGUUCUAUGGGAAGAAAAGGACUGUACCAUAGGAGAAAGCUCCGGCUAAAUACGUGCCAGCAGCCGCGGUAAUACGUAUGGAGCGAGCGUUGUCCGGAAUUAUUGGGCGUAAAGGGUGCGCAGGCGGCUUUACAAGUUGGAUGUGAAAUAUUGUGGCUCAACCACAAACGUGCAUCCAAAACUGCAAAGCUUGAGUUAAGGAGAGGUAAGUGGAAUUCCUGGUGUAGCGGUGGAAUGCGUAGAUAUCAGGAGGAAUACCGGUGGCGAAGGCGACUUACUGGACUUAAACUGACGCUCAGGCACGAAAGCGUGGGGAGCAAACAGG